AAUCAACGCUGGCGGCGUGCCUAACACAUGCAAGUCGAACGAGAAAGUGGAGCAAUCCAUGAGUAAAGUGGCGACCGGGUGAGUAACACGUGACUAACCUACCCUUGAGUGGGGAAUAACCUUCCGAAAGGAGGGCUAAUACCGCAUAAAGUCCUAAGGAUGAAACGCCUAAGGACCAAAGGAGUAAUUCGCUUUAGGAGGGGGUCGCGGUUGAUUAGCUAGUUGGCGGGGUAAUGGCCCACCAAGGCGAUGAUCAAUAGCCGGCCUGAGAGGGCGCACGGCCACACUGGAACUGAAACACGGUCCAGACUCCUACGGGAGGCAGCAGUGGGGAAUUUUGCGCAAUGGGGGAAACCCUGACGCAGCAACGCCGCGUGAAGGAUGAAGGUCUUCGGAUCGUAAAGCACUUUCGACCGGGACGAACAACCUCUGGCUAACAGUCAGGGG
rnacentral:rRNA from 1 species